CUGUAUGAAUCGAACUUGAGUCUUGAGCUUUGUCGGGUGUGGGCUGUGUGGUUGUAAGUGUCGAGUUUGGGGGGGAGUGAGUCUCCUGUCCUUGUGUGUCCGAGUCAGGGGAGGGAGUGAGACAGCCGGCGGCUGCUCACGGCCGGCAACGGCGCGGCGGCAGGCGGCGCUCAGUCCCUGUUCUGCCAGAAAACAAGAGAGGAGAGGAGAGAGUUUAGGAUUUCAGUUUUCAAUAAAAAAAAAGAGAGAGAAAGGGGAGGACAGAGAGAAAAGGGGGAGAAACUUACCUAUUUCCGGUGGCGACGCGGCGGCAGAAGCACCACGGCUGCUGCUGUCGGCCAAAGGAGAAAGAGAGGCAGGGCAGUGGUGGCGCCGGAUCCGGAAAAGGAGGGCGCGGCCGCUGCUGCCCGGCCACGGCUGGAGAAAGAGAAACCGAGGGAGGCGACGGCGGAUCUGCUGCGAGGACGCCGGAGGCAGCGGCGCUCAGCGGCGGUUGCUCCUGCUGCGUGAAGGAGAGAGGGCUGGGCGGCGCAGCCGCUGGGUGCGUGUGUUUGUGUAGGUAGAGGGAAAACUAGGGAGAAGAAGAUGGGGGAGAGGGAUGGCGGCGGCGGCGGCCGGCGCUGCUGCCGUCCGCCGGAGAAGAGAAGAAGGUGAGGGAGGGGGAAGGCUGCUGCACAGCAGCAGCUGCGUGUGUGCGUGUGUUUGUGUUGUGAGUGUGACCGAG
rnacentral:lncRNA from 1 species